rnacentral:lncRNA from 1 species
GGUGCAAGGUAUAUUCAAGUACACAAACCUUAAUUGUGUCACUAAACUAAUGGAAGGGGCUAAUGAAGGUUAUUAAAACAAAUAACAGAAAACUUUAAUAAGAAAAAGGUACAGUAUUAUCAGAAUAAAUCUUCUAAGGGAUUUGUCCCAGAUAUUUAAAAUUCUGAAUUUGUAUGCAGAAAAAAAGCCUAAAACUAAAAAUCAGCCUCAUGUAAAAGAAUUUGCAUAUAACAUUAGAAAAUUGGGCAUUUUAACAUUUUUGGAAAAAAAAAUUAUCUAACAACGUGCCCAAGAUACUAGAUUCAAUUGUAGGACUGAGUGACUGAAUGAAAAUACCAAGUUCUGAUUGAAGAUACAAAUGUGUAAGUGUACCAUUGAAUUUUAUCAUGAGAACCACCAAAAAAAGCACCUACAGGUUACCAGCAAACUAGUUCAUCAUUUAAAAUUCAAAUGGAUGAGGAAGAUUAGCAGAAACAAUAGUCCAGAAGGCGGCUUGUCUUGCAAAUCAACUUGCUGAGCAGCUCUUUUUCACCUUCUUAAAUUAAGUGCACUUUAACAAGGAGAGCACAAGCACCCAGCAUUGCAUGCAUGCAUCUCUAUGAUCCAGAGCCCUCUGGAGAGCUUCUGUUCUUCAGAAACCUGCAGAACUUAUUAGGAAAUACUUGGAAGAAGACAAUCAUCCAAUAGCUUAGUAACUUGGAGUGUUUUUUA